AGCUCCAAUAGCGUAUUUUAAAGUUGUUGCGGUUAAAACGUUCGUAGUCGUAUUUCUGCUUCGGAUCUUCCUUUCAAAAGUGAGAAUUCGAGCAUUGGUGUGGGCGGUUUACGUCACUUAAUUGUGCCGUUGCGUAAAUCCACACUUAUUAUCUUGAGGAAAUUAGAGUGUUUAAAACGUGCAUGGGAUGAAUAUAAUAGCAUGGGACAAUGUGAAACGGGGACGAGAUUGGCGUGGAUUAUGGCUCGGCCCAAUUUUCAAAAGGAGCAUUUGGGGGUAUCCGUAUUGAGCUGCUAGAGGUGAAAUUCUUGGAUUUUUUUAAGACGAACAAAUGCGAAAGCAUUUACCAAGGAUGUUU
rnacentral:rRNA from 1 species